CUUGGCGUUAGCAUGUUCUGCGACUGAUGUGGCUAGUGUCUGUUGUAGGCCCAGACACAGGAGCAAUGUUGGAGUUUGUAAUAUUGAGGGACAUCAAGAGAAAUUUUGUGAAUGUUAAGCCUCAUUUGAAGCCAAUUUAAUAACCAGAGUAGUAGGUUGGAUGGGUAACUGUUUCUUCACAUUGGUUUUUGUGGUACUUCAUACUGCUCAGCAAGCUCAGCUAGCUUUGUUGUUACACAAAAGCCUCCUCUGCUCUGUGAUCCUUGCCGGUAUGCGUGUCUGUUGCUGUGUUAUGUAAAUUUACCAGAUAGAUCUGUGGUACAUAUGUGAAAAACAAAUGGUCAAACUGCAGGAAUUCUUUUGCUUGGCAACAUUGUGUAACUUUGAUUAGCACCAAGCUGCUAACUUGCUCAUACCUGAAAGCUGUAGCGGUCCACUGGACAGUGUGUGUAAAGUCAAGCCAAGACUAAUACAACCAUUCUCAUUCACAGAUACACAUAGCGUUACUAAGCGGGGGGACGCUUCCUAUGACCAUUCAGACUCAGUCACAGCUUUGACAGGGUCAACAGACAUGUUUGUUAUUUCAGACUCAGUGGCAGUCCUUGUAUCUAGAACAGUCUUCAAUGAUGUGAGGAAGCUGAGCCAUUGCCACUGAGGCCUUCCACUGUGUAAUCCUGUGGUUCUACAUAAAGAGCAUGGCCAAAUUUAUCUGCAGUUGUGCAGGGUUGGCCCUAAUAAAAGAUGACAGUGACUCUGCCAUAUGCCAUGUUCCCGGAUCCACCAAACUCUCCUUACAGUAUGAGAAAGCAUCACAGGAAGAAGUUAUUGCUGGGCAGAUGUCAUGCUUCAGUCCAGCAAAGGCCUGAAGACAACACAGCGGCCAGCAGCAUCAGGAAGUCUCGGUAUCCACAGGAGGACACGUGAGGAUGACCAGUGUGACCUGAGACCUCCAAUACCAGCUGACACAACUUCAGUAUACAAGAAACCCUUUACCCUGAUGGAGGACAUGAUCUGGACUUUUUACAUAAAUGUUAUGGCUCUGCUACU